ensembl:lncRNA
CGUGUGUGUGUGUGUGUCUGUCUGUCUGUCUGUCUGUCUGUCUGUCUGUCUGUCUGUCUGUCUGUCUGUCUGUCUGUCUGUCUGUCUGUCUGUCUGUCUGUCUGUCUGUCUGUCUGUCUGUCUGUCUGUCUGUCUGUCUGUCUGUCUGUCUGUCUGUCUGUCUGUCUGUCUGUCUGUCUGUGUGUGUGUGUGUGUGUGUGUGUGUGUGUGUGUGUGUGUGUGUGUGUGUGUGUGUGUGUGUGUGUGUGUGUGUGUGUGUGUGUGUGUGUGUGUGUGUGUGUGUGUGGGGGCGUGUGUGUGGGGAGAGAGGGGAAGAGAGGGGGGGG